UACGUAGGGGGCAAGCGUUGUCCGGAGUUUAUUGGGCGUAAAGCGCGUGUAGGCGGCCAGGUAGGUCGGUUGUGAAAAUUGGAGGCUCAACCUCCAGACGUCGAUCGAAACCAUCUGGCUAGAGUCCGGAAGAGGAGAAUGGAAUUCCUGGUGUAGCGGUGAAAUGCGCAGAUAUCGAGGAAGAACACCGAUGGCGAAGGCAGUUCUCUGGGACGGUA
rnacentral:rRNA from 1 species